UGUCGGCAUUGGCCUGGGCGCGGGCGAAGCGGGCGCUGGCGUCGUCCGGGUUGUCGUUCCAGAUCGCAUGCCAGCGGCC
rnacentral:tRNA from 1 species